rnacentral:rRNA from 1 species
AUGAUUGUCGUUCAUGAAUUGCCAUUCUCCAUAGUGGAAUAUGAUGGGUUUAGGCGAUUCGUGCAUUGUCUGAAUCCAACAUUUGAGGUGGUGUCUAGGAUGACAAUAACACUUGAUUGCCUCCUUCUAUUUGAUGAACAAAGGACAAAGCUUCGAGAGGCUAUGCAGAACUUAACCUCCCGUGUCUGUUUAACCGCCGACAUGUGGACUUCAAGUCAACUCAAUAGCUAUAUGUGUAUAACAUGCCAUUUUGUUAGUGAGAACUGGAAAUUGCAGAAAAGAGUGAUUUGGUUUUCU